AUCUUUUAGUGUCUGCUAGUGUCUGUUAACAUCUGUUAGCAUCUUUUAGUGCCUGUUAACAUCUUUUAGUGUCUGCUAGUGUCUGUUGACAUCUGCUAGUGUCUGUUAGCAUCUGGCUGUGUGUACCACCUGAAGUCAACUGAUCUCUGUUAUUCUCCACAGCAAACUUCAGUCGUCGAACCUCUGUACUGGUUUCUGUCAGAGACAAGAAGAUAAGAGACACAGAACAUGAGCCAGAGGAUAGGACAGGGAGAACAAAAGGCAGUGGCUUGUGGUCACCUGGACAGCCUGAAGAAGCCGGCAGCCGUCGGCGAAACUGUAGCUACAAAACAGCGUCAGCCUGAAGAAGCCGGCAGCCGUCGGCGAAACUGUAGCUACAAAACAGGUAAACAAAACUGUUUCUGUGUUUAAAAAGAACGAAAGCAUGGGUUGUAUUAUAGGUGUCUAGUCCGGGUGUUUAUUACAUUAUUGUAUCCUAUGUGUCUUGUCUGGGUGUUUAUUACAUUAUUGUAUCA